rnacentral:rRNA from 1 species
GAUGAACGCUGGCGGCGUGCCUAAUACAUGCAAGUCGAGCGAAUGGAUUAAGAGCUUGCUCUUAUGAAGUUAGCGGCGGACGGGUGAGUAACAUGUGGGUAACCUGCCCAUAAGACUGGGAUAACUCCGGGAAACCGGGGCUAAUACCGGAUAACAUUUUGAACCGCAUGGUUCGAAAUUGAAAGGCGGCUUCGGCUGUCACUUAUGGAUGGACCCGCGUCGCAUUAGCUAGUUGGUGAGGUAACGGCUCACCAAGGCAACGAUGCGUAGCCGACCUGAGAGGGUGAUCGGCCACACUGGGACUGAGACACGGCCCAGACUCCUACGGGAGGCAGCAGUAGGGAAUCUUCCGCAAUGGACGAAAGUCUGACGGAACAACGCCGCGUGAGUGAUGAAGGCUUUCGGGUCGUAAAACUCUGUUGUUAGGGAAGAACAAGUGCUAGUUGAAUAAGCUGGCACCUUGACGGUACCUAACCAGAAAGCCACGGCUAACUACGUGCCAGCCGCCGCCGUAA